CGAAAACCCUCAGCGAAGCGCGACCGCUUUAGUGCGUCGCUGAGGGCGGCUUUUGCCUAUUUAACCAGCCGAGUGAAUAAGGGGAGGGCAAGUCUGGUGUCAGCCGCCGCGGUAAUACCAGCUCCUCGAGUGGUUGGGACGAUUAUUGGGUCUAAAGCGUCCGUAGCCGGCCGGAAAAGUUUCCGUUAAAUCCAACGAUCCAAUCGUUGGGCUGCGGGGAAUACUCUUCGGCUUGGGGGCGAGGGAGGUCGGCGGUAGUCUCGGGGUAGGGGCGAAAUCCUAUAAUCCCGAGAGGACCACCAGUGGCGAAGGCGGCGACUAAAAGCGCGCCCGACGGUGAGGGACGAAAGCUGGGGGAGCGAACGGGAUUAGAUACCCCGGUAGUCCCAGCUGUAAAACGAUGCAGGCUAGGUGUUUGGGACGGCCACGAGCUGUCCCAGUGCCGCAGGGAAGCCAUUAAGCCUGCCACCUGGGGAGUACGGUCGCAAGGCUGAAUUCUCUUUGAGCAUUCGCUCGAGAGACAGUUGACUUAAAGGAAUUGGCGGGGGAGCACCACAAGGGGUGAAGCUUGCGGUUUAAUUGGAGUCAACACCGGGAAACUUACCAGGAGCGACAGUUGAAUGAAGGUCAGAUUAAAGGUCUUUGCCGGACUAGCUGAGAGGAGGUGCAUGGCCGUCGCCCAGUUCGUGCCGUGAGGGUGUUCUCUUAAGUGAGACAAACGAACGAGACCCGCACCCUUAGUUGCCAGCGGAUUCCUCGGGAUUCCAGCACACUAAGAGGACUGCCCACGCUAAGUGGGAGGAAGGAACGGCCACGGCAGGUCAGUAUGCCCCAGAUCUCCUGGCCACACGCGAGCUGCAAUGGCUGGACAUGGAUCCGACCUCGAGAGAGAAGCAUCCUCAAACCCAGCCUCAGUUGGAUCGAGGGCUGUAACCCGCCCUCGUGACAUGAUCCCUAUAU
rnacentral:rRNA from 1 species